rnacentral:rRNA from 1 species
UACAGAGGGUGGCAAGCGUUGUUCGGAAUUACUGGGCGUAAAGGGCGCGUAGGCGGCCUCGCAAGUCCCGUGUGAAAUCCCUCGGGCUCAACUGAGGAAUGGCACGGGAAACUGCGGGCUUGAGUUCGGGAGAGGGAAGCGGAAUUCCUGGUGUAGCGGUGAAAUGCGCAGAUAUCAGGAGGAACACCAAUGGCGAAGGCAGCUCGCUGGGACGUGACUGACGCUGAGACGCGAAAGCGUGGGGAGCGAACAGG